GUGCUUGCCUUGGCAGCACAUAUACUAAAAUUGGAAUGAUACAGAGAUUAGCAUAGCCCCUGUGCAUGCAUGACACACAAAUUUGUGAAGCAUUCCAUUAUUUU
rnacentral:snRNA from 1 species